UCUGCUACAUCUCUAUGAAGCAGCAGAACCUGUUGCUCAGUCACUCGGUGCAUAUUAGCAACUGGCACCUUGUCUGGCUUCCCGAUACGUCCGCCUUUUUUCAGUGCAUGUUGUUUUCAUCCUUUACCAGCAGUCAAGUAGUUUCACACAACCGAAAUGACCAACUAGCCCACUCUGUUUGUCAAGUAGGUUUUACUUCCAAACAAAUGUAGCACAUUUGUGAUAUGCACUGUUGCUCAAUGAUAUUCUUUUUGCAUGUGCUAGCUGUGUACACAUAUUACAUGAUCUUUUUUCUUUUUUUUUCAGCUGCUUCUAGUAGUGGUGCCCCUGGUGUGCACCUUUACCCCAAAUGUCUGCACCUUUGCCUAUCGCUGCCUCUGCGAACCCCGCUCCUGGACAAUAGCUGGGAGGCUCUGUGUUUAAACGCGUGCACCUUGGACGUCAUGCUCCUGCCUCUGCAAGCCCUUUUGCUGGACGCCAUGGAAGGCCCUCCACUCGAAAGUGUGCACCUUAGACUACACGCUCAUCAAUACCAAGUUCUCUGUCCUUCUCGGCAUGAUUGUAGUGCCAUAUAAUAGUGAGGCAAUAAAUCAUUUUUGCUGGUCA